UACGGAGGGAGCAAGCGUUACUCGGAAUUAUUGGGCGUAAAGAGCUCGUAGGCGGUGUGUCGCGUCGGCCGUGAAAACCUGGGGCUCAACUCUGGGCGUGCGGUCGAUACGGGCAUCACUUGAGUUCGGCAGGGGAGACUGGAAUUCCUGGUGUAGCGGUGAAAUGCGCAGAUAUCAGGAGGAACACCGGUGGCGAAGGCGGGUCUCGUGGACAGUUCCGUGACGCUGAGGCACGAAGGCCAGGGGAGCAAACGGGGAUUAGACGCUACCGUGGUAAGUCC
rnacentral:rRNA from 1 species